rnacentral:sRNA from 1 species
UUAUUAAAGAUUAUUUGAAAAAGUUUAUAUCUUACACCCGCCUAAAUAUGCGGGUCUUAUCUAGUAUAUAAUAAAAGAAUAAACAGAAAACAAUACUAAUCCAAGUGUUCAAAUAAUAUAUUGGAAUAAAUGUUACUAAAAUGGAUCAUAUUUGAACAUAAGACAUAUUUG